AAAUUGAAGAGUUUGAUCAUGGCUCAGAUUGAACGCUGGCGGCAGGCCUAACACAUGCAAGUCGAACGGUAACAGGAAGCAGCUUGCUGCUUCGCUGACGAGUGGCGGACGGGUGAGUAAUGUCUGGGAAACUGCCUGAUGGAGGGGGAUAACUACUGGAAACGGUGGCUAAUACCGCAUAACGUCGCAAGACCAAAGAGGGGGACCUUCGGACCUCUUGCCAUCAGAUGUGCCCAGAUGGGAUUAGCUUGUUGGUGAGGUAACGGCUCACCAAGGCGACGAUCCCUAGCUGGUCUGAGAGGAUGACCAGCCACACUGGAACUGAGACACGGUCCAGACUCCUACGGGAGGCAGCAGUGGGGAAUAUUGCACAAUGGGCGCAAGCCUGAUGCAGCCAUGCCGCGUGUAUGAAGAAGGCCUUCGGGUUGUAAAGUACUUUCAGCGGGGAGGAAGGUGUUGUGGUUAAUAACCGCAGCAAUUGACGUUACCCGCAGAAGAAGCACCGGCUAACUCCGUGCCAGCAGCCGCGGUAAUACGGAGGGUGCAAGCGUUAAUCGGAAUUACUGGGCGUAAAGCGCACGCAGGCGGUCUGUCAAGUCGGAUGUGAAAUCCCCGGGCUCAACCUGGGAACUGCAUUCGAAACUGGCAGGCUUGAGUCUUGUAGAGGGGGGUAGAAUUCCAGGUGUAGCGGUGAAAUGCGUAGAGAUCUGGAGGAAUACCGGUGGCGAAGGCGGCCCCCUGGACAAAGACUGACGCUCAGGUGCGAAAGCGUGGGGAGCAAACAGGAUUAGAUACCCUGGUAGUCCACGCCGUAAACGAUGUCUACUUGGAGGUUGUGCCCUUGAGGCGUGGCUUCCGGAGCUAACGCGUUAAGUAGACCGCCUGGGGAGUACGGCCGCAAGGUUAAAACUCAAAUGAAUUGACGGGGGCCCGCACAAGCGGUGGAGCAUGUGGUUUAAUUCGAUGCAACGCGAAGAACCUUACCUGGUCUUGACAUCCACAGAAGAAUCCAGAGAUGGAUUUGUGCCUUCGGGAACUGUGAGACAGGUGCUGCAUGGCUGUCGUCAGCUCGUGUUGUGAAAUGUUGGGUUAAGUCCCGCAACGAGCGCAACCCUUAUCCUUUGUUGCCAGCGGUUAGGCCGGGAACUCAAAGGAGACUGCCAGUGAUAAACUGGAGGAAGGUGGGGAUGACGUCAAGUCAUCAUGGCCCUUACGACCAGGGCUACACACGUGCUACAAUGGCGCAUACAAAGAGAAGCGACCUCGCGAGAGCAAGCGGACCUCAUAAAGUGCGUCGUAGUCCGGAUUGGAGUCUGCAACUCGACUCCAUGAAGUCGGAAUCGCUAGUAAUCGUGGAUCAGAAUGCCACGGUGAAUACGUUCCCGGGCCUUGUACACACCGCCCGUCACACCAUGGGAGUGGGUUGCAAAAGAAGUAGGUAGCUUAACCUUCGGGAGGGCGCUUACCACUUUGUGAUUCAUGACUGGGGUGAAGUCGUAACAAGGUAACCGUAGGGGAACCUGCGGUUGGAUCACCUCCUUACCUUAAAGAA
rnacentral:rRNA from 1 species